AGGGUUUGAUCCUGGCUCAGGACGAACGCUGGCGGCGUGCUUAACACAUGCAAGUCGAACGGUAAGGCUCCAGCUUGCUGGGGUACACGAGUGGCGAACGGGUGAGUAACACGUGGGUGACCUGCCCUGCACUUCGGGAUAAGCCUGGGAAACUGGGUCUAAUACCGGAUAGGACCGCACCGUGAGGGUGUGGUGGAAAGUUUUUUCGGUGUGGGAUGGGCCCGCGGCCUAUCAGCUUGUUGGUGGGGUAAUGGCCUACCAAGGCGGCGACGGGUAGCCGGCCUGAGAGGGUGGACGGCCACAUUGGGACUGAGACACGGCCCAGACUCCUACGGGAGGCAGCAGUGGGGAAUAUUGCACAAUGGGCGGAAGCCUGAUGCAGCGACGCCGCGUGGGGGAUGACGGCCUUCGGGUUGUAAACUCCUUUCACCAUCGACGAAGGGUUUCUGACGGUAGAUGGAGAAGAAGCACCGGCUAACUACGUGCCAGCAGCCGCGGUAAUACGUAGGGUGCGAGCGUUGUCCGGAAUUACUGGGCGUAAAGAGCUCGUAGGUGGUUUGUCGCGUCGUCUGUGAAAUUCCGGGGCUUAACUCCGGGCGUGCAGGCGAUACGGGCAUAACUUGAGUACUGUAGGGGAGACUGGAAUUCCUGGUGUAGCGGUGAAAUGCGCAGAUAUCAGGAGGAACACCGGUGGCGAAGGCGGGUCUCUGGGCAGUAACUGACGCUGAGGAGCGAAAGCAUGGGGAGCGAACAGGAUUAGAUACCCUGGUAGUCCAUGCCGUAAACGGUGGGCGCUAGGUGUGGGUUUCCUUCCACGGGAUCCGUGCCGUAGCUAACGCAUUAAGCGCCCCGCCUGGGGAGUACGGCCGCAAGGCUAAAACUCAAAGGAAUUGACGGGGGCCCGCACAAGCGGCGGAGCAUGUGGAUUAAUUCGAUGCAACGCGAAGAACCUUACCUGGGCUUGACAUAUACAGGAUCGCGCCAGAGAUGGUGUUUCCCUUGUGGCUUGUAUACAGGUGGUGCAUGGUUGUCGUCAGCUCGUGUCGUGAGAUGUUGGGUUAAGUCCCGCAACGAGCGCAACCCUUGUCUUAUGUUGCCAGCACGUUGUGGUGGGGACUCGUAAGAAACUGCCGGGGUUAACUCGGAGGAAGGUGGGGAUGACGUCAAAUCAUCAUGCCCCUUAUGUCCAGGGCUUCACACAUGCUACAAUGGUCGGUACAGUGGGUUGCCAGUCCGUGAGGGCGAGCUAAUCCCGCAAAGCCGGUCUCAGUUCGGAUCGGGGUCUGCAACUCGACCCCGUGAAGUCGGAGUCGCUAGUAAUCGCAGAUCAGCAACGCUGCGGUGAAUACGUUCCCGGGCCUUGUACACACCGCCCGUCACGUCAUGAAAGUCGGUAACACCCGAAGCCAGUGGCCUAACACAUUUUGUGGGGGAGCUGUCGAAGGUGGGAUUGGCGAUUGGGACGAAGUCGUAACAAGGUAGCCGUACCGGAAGGUGCGGCUG
rnacentral:rRNA from 1 species